GGGCCAGAGCAACGGCAGAGGCUGAGCAGAGAGCUAGGGAGGUGAGGCCCGCUCUGCCAGUUCGCCUUGGCUCCGCGGAGGCUGAGAUCCUGACGGGCGCCUCCACCCCGGCGCCCGCUGAGCCCUGGCACCUCGGACCCAGGGCCAUGGCGCUCCGUGGGCGGGAACGUACCGGGAGGACCACGCGGGAGAUCACCGAUGGGCACCCUGGGCUCGAUGAACAGCCAGGUCUUGCUUACUCCUGCCUUGGGAAGUCCUUCCCAAUGUCUAACCAAGAUCUGUACCGCUGAAGUACCAGUUCUUUGACCCUCGGCUUGACAUGGCUAAUUUGAGAGGCACAGGGAGGAACUGACCUUGAUUUGGCACCCGCUUGCUUGUUCCUGAAAACUGAGUGAUACUGUCGCCACUAUACAAAGACAAUCAGAGCCCCAAGUCACAGGACUGACCAAAAAGAAGAACCUACUUCACCCACUUGUCCUGGGUUCCCUCUGAGACGCUGUCUUGAUUGACUGAAAGAUGAGGCUAAACUCUAGCAAGUUGAGUGGCUCCUCCCAGAAUCCUUUAAGCAGGAUAGAAGUGGGGAGGCCCCAGCCUCCAGCCUGGGCAGCCCUUUAGACUGGAGCCGCCUGGCAAAGACUUUAUUUCAUCAUUGCUCCAGUGUCUGCAAGCUGUCCAUCCUGGCCAGCCCUGGUUUCCCCUGUGUCGUCUGAACUGAGAAUCUUCUGAGAUGGAAGUCCCAUCUCAUGCCUAAUAAAGACUCUCAAAUAUUG
rnacentral:lncRNA from 1 species